rnacentral:rRNA from 1 species
UACGGGGGGAGCAAGCGUUGUUCGGAUUUACUGGGCGUAAAGGGCGCGUAGGCGGUCGUGACAAGUCACUUGUGAAAUCUCCGGGCUUAACUCGGAACGGUCAAGUGAUACUGUCGGACUAGAGUACAGAAGGGGCAACUGGAAUUCUCGGUGUAGCGGUGAAAUGCGUAGAUAUCGAGAGGAACACCUGCGGCGAAGGCGGGUUGCUGGGCUGAUACUGACGCUGAGGCGCGAAAGCCAGGGGAGCAAACAGG